rnacentral:rRNA from 1 species
UAGGGAAUCUUCCGCAAUGGGCGAAAGCCUGACGGAGCAACGCCGCGUGAGUGAUGAAGGUCUUCGGAUCGUAAAACUCUGUUAUUAGGGAAGAACAAAUGUGUAAGUAACUAUGCACGUCUUGACGGUACCUAAUCAGAAAGCCACGGCUAACUACGUGCCAGCAGCCGCGGUAAUACGUAGGUGGCAAGCGUUAUCCGGAAUUAUUGGGCGUAAAGCGCGCGUAGGCGGUUUUUUAAGUCUGAUGUGAAAGCCCACGGCUCAACCGUGGAGGGUCAUUGGAAACUGGAAAACUUGAGUGCAGAAGAGGAAGGUGGAAUUCCAUGUGUAGCGGUGAAAUGCGCAGAGAUAUGGGGGAACACCAGUGGCGACGGCGACUUUCUGGUCUGUAACUGACGCUGAUGUGCGAAAGCGUGGGGAUCAAACAGG